ensembl:snoRNA SNORD22 Small nucleolar RNA SNORD22
UCUUGCUGACACUUGCUUUUGUGUCCCAGUCCCAGAGCCUGUAAAGGUGAACCCACUGGAGCUGGCUGGGGGAGAAGAGAAAGGCUUGUUCAAGAAGGAACUGUCUGAGGGAA